CUCAGCGCAACCCACGACACGCCACCCGUCACCAAUCGGUCCGCUAUCACGUGCUCGUCGAAGUUUUUUUUUAUCGAGUAGAAAAAUAAAAAUAAAAAUAUUUCGUCAUAAACAUAAAGCAUAACAGACGWUAUGUACGUGUCGUUACGUCGACUAUUAUAGCUUAGACUUGCAAAGUCCGCAACCAUCGAAUAAUAUACGAAGUAAUACAACAUCCGAAGUCUAAUGUGAUUUUAUCUAAUCGAAAAACGAACGAGCAACGAUUGUCGUUGUGUGCUGGUCAAAAGAUCCAGAAAUUCAUCGGAAAUCAAAAAAAAAACAAUGAAAUCGACAACCGUACUCUAUAGAUACAAUGAUAUCAGUCGUAAAAACGGUUUUUACAGUCUCAACAUAAGACAUGCGGCCAUUACCGGAGCUAUUUAC